CACGUAGGGGGCGAGCGUUGUCCGGAUUUAUUGGGCGUAAAGAGCUCGUAGGCGGUUUCGUAAGUCGGAUGUGAAAACUCCAGGCUCAACUUGGAGACGCCAUUCGAUACUGCGAUGACUUGAGUCCGGUAGGGGAGUGUGGAAUUCCUGGUGUAGCGGUGAAAUGCGCAGAUAUCAGGAGGAACACCGGUGGCGAAGGCGGAUCUCUGGGCCGUAACUGACGCUGAGGAGCGAAAGCAUGGGGAGCGAACAGG
rnacentral:rRNA from 1 species